UUGAAAAUUUUGGAUGAAUAGUAAAUCUGAAUUUGAAAUCUCACAAAUCUCAAGCUUAUCAUUUGACAAAGAACCCAAAAAUAGCUCCAAGGAUCAAUUUUCACUGAAGAUCAACCAUCCAUUGUGAAGAAAUACAAUUUUUUAAAAUUGGGCAAAACCUAGGCCAAAAUGUUUAAUCUCUCAAAUCCAUAUAAUUUCUUGCUUUUUUCUCAAGUGUGAUCUACCUAGUCGACAAAUCAGGUAAAAAUAAGUUUGUACUCCAAAAAUGGGCUCAAAAUCAUAUCCCCAGUCCUCAAAAAAUUGAAGAAAAGGGAAAACGAUGGUGGAUUUUCAAACCACUCCCUCCUCCUCCCCCCCAAAAUAAAAAAUAAAAAAACGGUCCUCGUUCUUUUAAGGAAAAAGUUUAUAUAAAUGUGAGGCUCGAAACAAUCAAAAUUAGGGCGCAUCUCAAAUUUUUCACUAGAAGAGGUUGUUUCGAUGCCCAAAUAUCCUCAAAUUGAUCAUCUCGACCUCAAGAUGCAUGGACAAUGAGACAAAAAUGGAUUUCAAGUUUUGGAAAUAGUGCAUCUUGUAAUGCAUUUUUGGACCGCCAAUUUUCAAGAUUUUCGAGUUUUCAUAGACCUGCUCGAUCUACACUAUUAUUUAAGUUUUAAAUUUUAUAAUUAGAGAUGAAAAUAUAUUUUAAGACUAUCACAAAGAUUUCCAGUAUUGAAACCACAUUUCUCGAUACUAUUUGAAGGUGUUGCAUUACUUUGAUUGUUUAGAGCUUGUGCUCUAUACAAACCGCACCCUUCUUUUAAAUAGCUCUUUUACAAUAUUUGGGUGAGCAUUACAUAAAGGAAAAAGUUUAUAUAAGGUUGCAACCUUAAAAUGUAGAAUUACAGAUGCACCUCAAAAAUCCAUCGGAAAAUAUUGUUUUAAUGUUCAAAAACCCUCUAAUUGAUCAUCUUGACAUCAAGAUAUAUGAAUAUGAAAAAAAAAAAAGAUUUUGAGUCCUAAAAAUAGUGCAUCUUACAACACAUUAUCUAGACCGUCCAUUUUCAAGAUUUUCAUAUAUUUAUAGAUCUACUUGAUUUUAGUCAUUUUUGGAGUUUAAAUUUUUAUAAUUAGAUACAAAAAUGGAUUUUAAGAUAAUCCUAUGGAUUUUUUAUAUCAAAAUUACAUGUUAUGAUAAAAUUUGGAGGUGUGCCUUAAUUGGAUUGUUUAAGGUUGUGCAACCUUAUAGAAACCACACCCUUACACAAAACUCAGCAAGUCACCCAAGUUUAAUAGUAUAAGGUUGAGUCUCUAAAGUACCAGCCCAAGUACCUGUAAGGUACAUAUAUCUGCCCUGUUCCAGAUCUGAGUCACCUUGAGGAAGUUGAAAGGUAUUGUCUUAAAGAGAAGGUUCUUCCUAUAAAAAAUUUCUAUGAUGGCGGCAACAAAAUCCUCAACAUGAUCAGAAUUGAGGCUAGCAAUAGUAUAGCACAGAAGACAAAGAUUAAGAGGAUGAAAAUUUUGCUGGUUUGCUUUCAGUGACAUAACAUUAGCUAUUAUUUCUGAUAGUACCAUCUAACAUAACCAAGAUUUGUGUCCAUGCAAUGCUAGGUAAGUGACAUGGAGCUCCUGUCUCAAUCAUUGAGAUUGAGGAUAGUAUCCCAUGCUUACCCAAAUAACUAUUAAAUUAAAAAAAAAAUGAAAGAUAUGAGAUUUGCGCCUCCUUCCUAAAUGCAGACUUAUAUAACCAUACAAAAUUAUGGAUUGACUUAGAAAGCUCUGCUCUGAGGCGUCCCUGCAUCCAAUCCCCUGCCUCCCCUUACCUUCUGCAUCAACAAUUCAACAAACACCUCCAGAACCUAUUACAAACUCAAUUAGACCCAUGAUCCCACUAAAGACCCUUCGUUACCUAUAAACAUUUUAUUUAUUCUUUUCAAGUGUUAAUGGUGGCAAUGGAGCCUAAGAGGUUAUGUUGAGGAUCUGCCCCCCUAACCACCAUGGCCGGACCUCAUUCCCCUAUAUCUCUUAGGUGUGGCAUCAAACUUCCCGCAGCACAUCAAAUCAGACUGAAGAAACCAACAAGCUUUUCCUUCCACAAACCUCUAAAAAUUGGUUUAUCUAUUUCCCCUCCUAUUGUUGCAUAGAAGGUCCCAAACUUGAAGCAUUCUUUGAUUUGACAAGGAACCCCAUGCGACCUCUUCCACAUCCAACAUCUAAACCAUGACAAUAACAAGCAGUGAACCAUCAAAAACAAAAAGAAAAUCCCCAUCAAUUGCCUAGAGAAUAAUCAAUUUCAUAUGGGGAAAAGAUCCCGAUGUAGGAAAACAACAUCGGCCAUUUCCACCACUAAUGCAGGUGGUACACCCCAUCUAUUCAGAACUCUCCAGCAAACAACCCAAGGUAAACAGAUAUCUGGCACCAAGAAGGCAACAACCCCAUGAUGAUCCCCAUUCACUAAUCCAACCACUCAAAUCAUGCUGGACAUUGUCUGCUACUCUGCUACCUGAUAGUACACAUGCCAUUCCUGGGGCUUUUUUGUUAGUAGAUAAUGGAGUAGCUGCUAUAUUUUAUAUAUGUACAUUCAUUCAGAUAUGAAAAGGCAAGAACAAAAAGGGCAAAAAAAGAAUGAGAAAAAAAUACGAGGUAAUACUUACAGUCAACAAUGACAUGAGAAGAGCCCAGUUCACAGUCCUUGUGAGAAACCUGCAUCAAUGCAUAUAUAGAGUUGCUGAAUAAAUAGCAAUGAUUCAUACUUGAGUGGUCCAUGAAAAACAAUUUGCAUUUAACUUACUAUUGUCAGGUAAAUGAAUCCUCAACUAUCCAUCAUUGACACCAAACAGUUGAGAUGUAAAAUUACUCCACUCAAGUCCAUAAAGCAAAACUUAGAAGACUUCAGUGGAGUAUAACUUGACCAUUCAUUGUUGAAAAUGGGCAAUGGACAGUAUGAGGAUAAAUUUACCAUAUUAACUGAAUGGUAAAUGCUAUCAUAGGAUAUCUAAGAAAAAAUUCUACCAAACUUAACUUUUCAUAGUUCCUAGCAAUAUUACCUUACAUAGUUAAAGGGGCAAGAAAACACACUUACAUAGUAAAAUGAGAAAUAGAUUCAAAGUAAUAAAAUAGUAAACAAUUAGGAGCACUUAUAUAAGUGCUCCCCCAGGAGCAUACCAUACAUUUACUCCCUUGGGUAAAAUAAAUACUAGGGAGAUUUUUAUUUUUUUUUCGAAAUUUUAGGAUCCAUCUAAUUCCAACUAGAUUAUUUUCGAAGGAAAAAAAUUUUGAAUAUUGAGUUAUUGAACAUCUAGAUCAUUCCCAAAUUAGAUGGUUCUAAUGCAAUCUUGGGAUGCCAAAUUUCCUUUUGACAUACAGAGAAUGAGAGUUAAAUUUUCUUUUUUCUUUGAGGUUGGUCGGGUUCUAGAGAUCACAUCCAUAAAAUUUGGAAUCUCAAAAAUAUUCCUAGUUUAAAUUUUGAUUUGAUUCAUGCACAAGCUCACUGGCAAGGACUAACAAGAAAUUGGUACUAUCCAGGUGCUUUUUCACCACCAAGGAUCUCUUUCCAAUAAGCCAAAGCAAAUUGUUUUUCAAAUAACUCAUACAAAUCAACGAUAUCAAAUAACUCAUACAAAUCAACGACAUAGGAUAGUAAUCAAAUUCCCAUGAGAAAGUUCUUCACAUUUUUUUGAACUUACUUAAUCCCAACCGGCGCACCAAAAACGAUAGCUCCAAAAGCAUUGACAAGAGCCCCUGCACAAUAAAUUUUGCACUUCUAUAAUUUACCUCAAAAAUAACAAUCACACAAAUAAGUUUAUAGAUAGCAAAAACGCUGUAAAUUUAAUAAGUAAUAAGCAACUUAAUCAGAAACCUUUAGAAGUAAUACAGAAGCAUACAACACCCAGAGAGAGGCAAAGAAGAAGAGGAGGGGUGAUUAAUUAAAGGUCUCACCAGCAGGGAGGCCUAAGAGUCCACGCAAGAUUGCCCAUUUCAACUGUUACAUAGAAUCGCAUUAUCAAUUUACCAUGCCUUCCUAAAUUUUUCUUUUUUUUUUACAUACAUUCACAUAUGAAACAAAGCCAGGCAGAUUCAUAUGGAUAUAGCUUCAUACCGAGCAAUGCUCCAGUUUUUUAGAAAGCAGACUAAAACCCAAUAUCACGAUGGGGCUCUCAAAUAACUGCAAAACCAUUUCACAGACACGAUAAUAUGAGAAACUUUAACGAAAAUUGCUAAAUUUCUAGACUACUAGGGUGAGAGAAAAUGUCUAAGGUGGGGCCAAUUAUAAGAGGAGAUAGUUACCCACAAGAUACAGAUGGUUUGCAGAGGGUGGGUGGUGAGAGUCCAGCCAUUAAUAAUCUGAGCAAAAAGGAGAGAUGCCCAAACACUAAGGCCAUUGAUCAAAUGAAACCCUAACUCCAUUAAUGGAGACAACUGAAAUACAUAUGGAGUUCCUUUUUCUGAUGCCAUGGAUAUGAAGGUUCAUGAAACAAUAUAUCCUGAUACAAUCAUGGAGAAAUGAUUCUUGUUAUUUUAUGGUACACAGAAGAGGGAAACUCAAAACAUGGUAGGAAAUUCUUGAAAGAUCAUUAUAAGGCACUAAGGCCACUGAAAUUUAUUGCAAAAAUAUUACAUUUGAUCUGAUCAAUUUUAGGGCAUAUAUCUUAUUGAAAUGUCUCAAAAUGCCACAAGACAAACCUUGAAGCUGUAUAUAAAUUAACAAAAUGAUGAGAACAUGUGAAAAAUAACCGAGAUUUUAAAUAGAGAGGGAGAGAGAGAGAAACUGCACUGUUCUUACUUAAUUAAUAUGCCCAAAAGUUGCAUGAAUUAGCAGGUAGUCAGGAAGAGAGACGCAUGCAGAUUCCUGGAGGGAAGAUCAAAAGGUUCUAAGAGGAAUAAUAGCCUAAAUUUAAGAGAGAGAGAGAGGCUUGGAAGCUUGAAUAAGAAGAUUUGUUGGAAAAAUGACAUUUUACCGGUGGGUUUGAUAAAAGAGUGGAGGUAACAAGUGGGGUGAAGCUCUGAGGGACUAUGGAUACACAAUGGACUACAGAGUAGGAAGGGCAAGAAACAGGGGUGACGCUACUUACUUAGUGUCCCUUUGCAUUUAAAGAUACAGAAUUUUGUCACAUAUACCUAGAUGGCAGAUAUAAAGAUAAUAGAAGCACAUACGAGAAAACUUAGGAGACUCACAAAUAUGUAAUCCUCCAAACUGUCUCUUCAGCGGUUACUAUCUCCAAACUGUCUCUUCAGCUGUUACUAUCUCUCUCUCUUCACUCCACCCAAAGCCAAACAGUUGGCAGAGUUGUUUCAUGCAGGACAAUGACCCAUCUAACACUUUCAGUCUAUUUCUUGGCCUAGUUUAUCCCCUUCCAAAAAAGAAAAAAAACCAAACAAAAAAAAAAACUACCCAUAUUUAGCUCUCAUUGAGUUCCCCAAAUCAUUCCAUGUAUCUUCACGGAAAGUCCCCCGGCCCUCUACCUUGCCCAACCUUACUAAGCAUAAGCUCAACAGAGUAGUCAUCCUGAUGGGCGGUCCCAUCAUGGCUUCUCUUCUCAGGGUGAAGGAAGAUGGUGGGGAUCCAUACCUAAAGAUUUUCAUAUGUAUGAUAAGAUAGAAACAGAUUGGAAAUUCAAAGAAGGCAUGGCCUUAACAAGUCAAGUUAUGGAAUUCCAAAAAGUUCAAAUAUGGACAGAUUGAAGAAGUCCGAUAGCUGUCGACUAGCAAAUAUCUUACAUAACUUUAGGGAAGCACUCUUGAACAAAAUUUAAACUGAGCAAAGAAGAACCACAGAAAUGACACACUGGAAACUUGGACCUAUUGCCCAAGAAUCUAUUCUUUGGAAGCACUAUCUAUUAUAGCAAGUAAACCCCACAAUGACAACACAGGAAAGAAGAAGAAGAUGAACUUUGAACUUGAAUACCGACGAGGGCUGUAAUACCUACAACAUCUCAAACCACUGAUCAUCCAAUUACAAGCAGUGAAAACAGUAAAUGUUCCAUGUUAAAAACAAUUCUACCCAUGGAAUUUCAUCUAAAAAGAAAAGGAACUUCUUCUUCCAAGCAGAGAGAGAAAGUGAAAUAACUCGAUUGUGAUUUCUGUGUUUAUAAUCCAUACAUGAUUUGUGAGCAAAUCCAUCUCCAAAUAAUGGGUUCAUAGAAAUUAGAGAGAAUUAUCAAGUAGUCAUCAUAUUCAGCAACAAAAGAAGAUGACAGCAGUAAACAUUUCAAUAAAAAAAACACAGUGGCAAUGGUGACACCAUAUUGCCCCAUGGACGUCCCAAAAAAUCAGUGAAAACAGUAAGGACUUCAUGUCAAGAACUAGUAUAACCCAUGGAAUUCCAAUCAACACUGAAAAAAACUAGUAGAAUCCAUAAAUGAUUUGUGAACAAAUCCAUAUCCAAAAAAUGACUUCAUAAAAAUCAGAGAAAAUCAUCAAGAGGUCAUCAAUUCAGCAACAAAAGAAGAUAAAGAAUAAUGGACAAGUUUCUUAAAUGCAGGCCUUCACUUAACGCUCAAUCCAUUUCGGGCUAUCUAAAGCUGCUUACCUUAGUAAGUUGAACUUUAGAACUAGUAACAAGUUUCUUAAAUUCUUUUUCAAACAAAUUUCUUAAAUGUUUUUCUCAAACUGGAGUUUUGGUAGGAAUUACUGCAAUGCCGUAUAUUCGUAGACAUGGAUAAACAUGCAUUCGAGAGUGUUUAUAGGUAUAUCUAAGAUAAAGGUUUGUGUGUUCUAGACUAUAGCGCUCACCGUCUUCACCUACUCAUACAUGUUUCUCAAGAUCACCAGUGCUGCAUUUUGGCCAAAUAUACUAUGCAUAAAACAUCUCAUCCAGCCAGCAAGACAAGCAAUUGCCCAAAACUCUGGUUACUUUCAAAAUAAUUUCAACUAAAAUAGCCAAAUUAUGAUUUUUUCCAAGGCAAUGAAGGAAGUAUGAAACUGAUGGUUUUUAUAAACAAAAAUUCAACCAAAGUAACAAACUCAUGGCUCAGUAAUGGCUCAUUCAUGAAUGCUUCAUGAAUGCCACCUAGCACUCCGAAAAAAGAGGGGAAACAAAGCAAACCCAUCUUGAGUUCUUGAAAGAAUUGCUCAAAAACUGUGGUAAUUUUCAAAGGGUAUAGAAUAGAUGAACGAAAGUAGCAAUAUUAGGGCCUCUUUUCAUUGACGAAGAAACAACAAUAAUGGGCCUCGCACUCUGAAAAAAGAAGGAAAAACAACGCAGACCCAUCUUCAGUUUCACACAGGACCGCUCAAAAUUAUGGUUCUUUUUCAAAGCAAUCCAACCAAAGCGGUAAUAUCAACAUACAUAGGGGCUGUUAUCAUAGAUAACCAAAGGAACCGUAUGGGCCCAGAGGGCUGCUAGAUAUGGACGGGAAGAAGAUAUUAACUUGAAUUACCGUUAAAAAAAAAACAAAGAUAUGAACUUGAAUUCUUCAGAAAAGCUCAACAGUCCCGAAAACGAUCCAAGGAAGAAGGGAUAAUAAAUAACAAUAAACCUAGCAGAAUAAAGCAAAACUUUUCAAUAAAAACUGAAACAAAUGCAAAUUUUUCUCUUGAAGUAAAGAUGUGAAUUGAAAACUUAGGGUUUAAUUAUCCAAAAAAAUGCACUUAUUAAGAAAUAUACCAGAUCCAGCUGCUAACUUUUUUUUUUAAGUUACAAAACAGUUAAUACAGAUUUUCUUUGUCUAAAGUUCAUAUAUUAUUUGUAAACAAAUUCUUUUCCAAAAAAUGCACAAACAAGAAAAAAAAAAAAGCAACAUUUCCACAAAUUUCAAGCAUCCACACCAUGAAAAUAUCAAUUAAGCACCAAUAUAACAACAACAAAAAAAUCAAGAGAUGGAAUAAACAAAUGCAAGUUUUUGCACAACCUAGGAUAACCUUGGAAAAGGCGCUGUAUAUUACCCUUUUUGCCCCUUUUCUCCCCCCCCUCUCAGUACUCAAUUGUUGCAGAGACUAUGGAGCUCAAUCCCUUUCCCUCCGUUCACAACUUCUCCAAAUCCUCUCAGCUUCUCACCCAUUUUUUCCUUUCAUUUUGUGCUCCAUUUUCUGCCCUUUUUCUUAAGAGACGAACCACCCUGGCACCCUUUUUCUUCAGAGGCGAACCACCAGUGCUUCUAGCGGUCCGGGUGGCAACGGAUCGGGUAUGCGGUCGGGACCCGGCCCGACCUGUCAGAUCCAAAAGUUGGACCAUACAUACCGACGACGCUGAAGGAGGCCUUCAAUUGCGGACGUGGAAGAGGAUACGCUAAAGUUUCGGAUCUAUCCCAUCGGUACUUGGUUUAGUUAGAGUCCAUUGCGACUUUCAUUAUUUUUUUAUUUUUUAUUUUUUAUUUUUAGUUUUUUUUUUUUUAAGACAUUAGAUUUUAAGCUAUUUGAUUUGUCAUUAAUGACUAAAUUUUUAUUAUAUACUAUCAUUGAUAAAUAUUCAACUGGUACAGUCGGGUCCAGGUUUUAGACCCAGGUACGACCCACCGGGUCUAAAUGUUGGACCCAUAUCUAGACCCAUAUGAAAUAUACCCGAUGGGUCCCGGUUUGGGUCUGGUCCAUUGACACCCAAAGCUCGAUGCUUGUUUUAACUGAGGCAUAAAUUUGGUAAGGUUGACGCCUUAAAUUAUUGAAGCAGGUGCAUCUCAAAAAUCCAUUGAAAAAGGCUAUUUUGACUUUAAAAUUAUAUUUAAUUGAUCAUCUCAAUAUCGAGAACAAUAUCGAGAUGAAUGAAUAUGUGUGAAAAAAAUUCAAGUCCCAAAAUAGAAUAUCUUGCAAUAAAGUAUUUGGACCAUUCAUUUUCAAGAUUUACAUGCAUUCAUAGAUAUGCUUGAACUAGUUUUAGAGUCUAAAAUUUUAUAAAUAGAGACUAUAAAAGAUUUUUGAGCCAUCUUAUAAACUUUGACACCAAAUUUGCAUCUCAUCACAAAGAAGGGACACCUUAAGGUUGCAACCUCAUGGAAACCUCACCCUUAACAAAACAAACCUCUAUAAAAAAAGAAGAGUGUGGUUUCUAUAAGGUUGCAACAUUAAACAAUCCAAUUAAGGCGCACCUCUAAAUUUUAUCAUAAGAAAUAAUUUUGGUGUAAAAGAUUAUUAGGAAUAUCUGAAAAUUUAUUUUCAUAUCUAAUUAUAAAAUUUUAAACUUGGUUAAAAUCAAGUAGAUCUAUAAAUAUAUGAAAAUCUUGAAAACGGACGGUCUAGAUAAUGUGUUGCAAGAUGCACUAUUUUUUGUGCUCAAAAUCUUAUUUUUUUUCACAUUCAUUAAUCUCGAUAUCGAGAUGAUCAAUUAUAGAGUUUUUCAACAUUAAAACGACCUUUUUUGAUGGAUUUUUUAGGUGCAUCUGUAAUUCUACAUUUUAAGGUUGCAACCUUAUA
rnacentral:lncRNA from 1 species